rnacentral:rRNA from 1 species
AUUGAACGCUGGCGGCAGGCCUAACACAUGCAAGUCGAACGGUAACAGGAAACAGCUUGCCGUUUCGCUGACGAGUGGCGGACGGGUGAGUAAUGUCUGGGAAACUGCCUGAUGGAGGGGGAUAACUACUGGAAACGGUAGCUAAUACCGCAUAACGUCGCAAGACCAAAGAGGGGGACCUUCGGGCCUCUUGCCAUCGGAUGUGCCCAGAUGGGAUUAGCUAGUAGGUGGGGUAACGGCUCACCUAGGCGACGAUCCCUAGCUGGUCUGAGAGGAUGACCAGCCACACUGGAACUGAGACACGGUCCAGACUCCUACGGGAGGCAGCAGUGGGGAAUAUUGCACAAUGGGCGCAAGCCUGAUGCAGCCAUGCCGCGUGUAUGAAGAAGGCCUUCGGGUUGUAAAGUACUUUCAGCGGGGAGGAAGGGAGUAAAGUUAAUACCUUUACUCAUUGACGUUACCCGCAGAAGAAGCACCGGCUAACUCCGUG